rnacentral:rRNA from 1 species
UACGUAGGGACCAAGCGUUGUUCGGAUUUACUGGGCGUAAAGGGCGCGUAGGCGGCAUGACCAGUCACUUGUGAAAUCUCCGGGCUUAACUCGGAACGGCCAAGUGAUACUGUUGAGCUAGAGUGCGGAAGGGGCAAUCGGAAUUCUUGGUGUAGCGGUGAAAUGCGUAGAUAUCAAGAGGAACACCUGAGGUGAAGACGGGUUGCUGGGCCGACACUGACGCUGAUGCGCGAAAGCCAGGGGAGCAAACGGG